UCCUGUGCAGCUGCAAGGGCUUGGUGGCCUGAGAGUCGAACAUCGGAACAGACUUGAUGAAUCCAUGGAAUAAGGGGUCUGCCUUUGGACUGCCUCCACCCCUCGGUUGGUGAAAUUUUAUCCCAGAUGUUACAAGCCACCCGGAGAAUGAUGUUCGCUGGAAUGUCUUAUGGUAUUCUCGCGACAUGUCCGAAAAGCGUAAAGCGCCAUCUGCGGACAAUGGCCCCUGUAGUCUGUCGACUGGAGUGACCAUAAACAUCUGCAUUACAGGUGAAGUCAUACCACUUUGUGCCCAGUAUACGAAGUUGGCAUUUUGUGUGGAAAGCCUCCAGCUUUGCCCAAUCUGAGCGGCGUAGUGUCCAUGUUUCACAGCCAUGCAACAGUAUGGGGAGCAUAAAGCUCAAACAGAUCCUGAACUUGGUUGUUGUCCUGAGGUGAUGUUGAUUCCAUAUUAAUUGUAAAUGACCCAUGGCAGAUGCUGUGAUGUCAAUCUGAUGGAGAACCUCCAUGUGAGAGUUGGAGGAACUGCUGUAAAAUGGGGAUAAUGGAUGAUAUCGGGAAGUAUCGUGUGUUACACACCUGAACUCAAAUUUGAAAGCAGUUGGAGACCCUUGGAUGGAAGAAAUUAGUUGUGUUGGCAAAAUGGUUUGGAAAUGCUCUGAAGAUUGUUCUUCUAUCAAUGUGACAGAUUAAGCUACGUCCGGUAGGUAAAGUUAUGGCUCGGACGCAAGCUGUCCAGUCCCAGGAUGACCUGUUUACAUCAGUGCUGCCUGCCUGUGGUGUUGCUUAGAGAAGCAUAGAUCAAGCUUCUAAACCUGCCAUGCCAGGAGCGAGCUGAACCAUGUGCCAGGAACAACAUGAUUCUUCCAGUAACGUUUCCCUGCCCUUGUACCAACCUGGUUCCAGCAGCCCCAGCAGGCAGGUGAGCAUGACACACCCCUGUCAGAGCAGGUACUGAGGAUGAGGAAGAACCACUUUCUCACUGGAAGGGAAUCUGACUUAUUUGAAUGUGUCCCUGGCCAGACUGGGGGGUCUGUCCUUUUCUGCUGAUACUGGGGCUUGGAACAAUGUUGAGAACCCAGAUGAUCUGUGUUGUUUUCAGAGAAGGUUCAGCACAAAGAACAUUCCCAGAUUUCUGACUCUGUGCAUGGAAGAGACCAAGCAAUGGGUAGCAAUGACCUUCCUGUUUCUUGCAAGUCUUGCAAGGACACUUGCAAAGUCUCAGAGCUCCAGUUCUGAAGGUGUGCCCCGAUGUGCCGUCAAGGCCAACCAGAGCUCUUACUGGAAAAAGGGUGAGCUCUGGGAGCGGGCAGUCUGCCUGCAAUAGGUCUGCCACACAGUAUCUCUGAGGGGAUGUCACCUCUUGGUGUUAUCCAGGGGGUGGCCCAGCCUGGCUAAGAGCCUGAUGAAGGUGUAAGAGAAGUCCUGCUGCUGUGGUCUGCGUUUGGCCCUG